AAGUUUCCAAAAUUGAGAACCUCUAAGUCUCCACACCAAGGAAAGAUUGAUGAAGAAAUGAGUGACCUUGGAGUAGUAGGAUUGCUAGCUAAUCCCUCCAAGGGGGCCGGCCACUUUAGAGAGAAAUGAGAGCUUUGUGUUCUCUCCAAUUUCCUAAAAGAAACCCUUAAUGAAUUUUGGCUAUAAAGUCAUAUUUAUACCUUAAUUCAUUGGAGUGGCAAACUUGUAAAU
rnacentral:lncRNA from 1 species